GCCGAAGUAGCUCAAAGGUAGAGCAACUGUUUUGUAAACAGUAGGUUGUCGGUUCGAUUCCGACCUUCGGCU
rfam:Candidatus Portnoybacteria bacterium RBG_19FT_COMBO_36_7 RBG_13_scaffold_4728, whole genome shotgun sequence.